rnacentral:rRNA from 1 species
UACGUAGGGCGCAAGCGUUGUCCGGAAUCAUUGGGCGUAAAGAGCUCGUAGGCGGCCUGUUGCGUCCGCUGUGAAAUCCCGGGGCUUAACCCCGGGCGUGCAGUGGAUACGGGCUGGCUGGAGGCAGGCAGGGGAGAACGGAAUUCCCGGUGUAGCGGUGAAAUGCGCAGAUAUCGGGAGGAACACCGGUGGCGAAGGCGGUUCUCUGGGCCGGUACUGACGCUGAGGAGCGAAAGCGUGGGGAGCGAACAGG